AAAGGCAGUGAGCGUCUUUCCUUGGGCUGCGUGUGCCGAGCGUAGACAAUGAAAAUCUUCAUCCCCCUCCCCCAUUCCACUAGGCUACAAGAUUCUUGUUUUCGUUCCUUCUCACCGGUGGAAGAUGUGUAAAAUCAAAGAUGUAGAGGUGUGUAGUGAUUUUUUUAAAAGCCAACUAACCCACCGCACGGGCUGCGACGCGGAUUACCCGAGCGCACGCCGGCUGGGCGCAUUCUGGGGUCUCUGCGCAAGACCAGCUCUCAGCUCUCUCUCCUUUCCUCGGACUCUGGAGCGGGAGCGGGCCUUUCCCUCGGGUCGACCACGCCGUAGGGGACGCCGUGAAAAGAGCCGUCGCGCCCGCUGCCUCCUGCCCGCUGCGCAGAGGGCUCCGCCCGUAGAGGUCAACUUCCCUCACCCUUUUCUGUCUCCUGCUCGCCCUCCCUCCGCCCGGCCCAGGCGCUUGCAGCCCCAGACUGUGGCCACUGGCUGAGGAGUGCGAGUCGGCUGCGCUGCCCUGAGCCUAAUCCCUCUUCCGGGCCCAGACCCGAGGUCCGCGCUCCUGGGCAGUGGGGAAGCUUUAGUGAGCAGGCUUUUCUCUCCGCAGCAAACUCGUAGCCAGACCAGAUGGGCCGCCCAGCUCUCUCGGGACUAGGCAGGUGCGGUUGAGUUAAUUUUUCCGCAUUACAAAGAAAGAUGACCCAGCCCGCCCUUGGACUCUCUUUUCCCAAAAUCUCCCAACCAAACCCGCGGUAACGUUAUCAAAGGACACAGAGCCCAGGCAUAUCUGUGUGUUUAUCUUACAGGCACACAAGCAAGGUUUUCUCUUUUAUAUGCUAGAUUUCAUCCCUGACAGCAGAAAAUGAUUGGCAACGGUUCUGACGGAGAACAUGCAAUAGCGUGGUCCUUAAAAACCUGCCAUUCCUUACAAGUGCCUUAGAAAGGAUUCAGGGCGAACCAACUGGGUUAAUUGCAUUCAGUAAAAUAACACGAUUACAAAAUUA
rnacentral:lncRNA from 1 species